rnacentral:rRNA from 1 species
GCAUAACGCGAAGAACCUUACCAAAUCUUGACAUCCUCUCGACCCCUCUAGAGAUAGAGUUUCCCCGUUCGGGGGACAGAGUGACAGGUGGUGCAUGGUUGUCGUCAGCUCGUGUCGUGAGAUGUUGGGUUAAGUCCCGCAACGAGCGCAACCCUUAAGCUUAGUUGCCAUCAUUAAGUUGGGCACUCUAAGUUGACUGCCGGUGACAAACCGGAGGAAGGUGGGGAUGACGUCAAAUCAUCAUGCCCCUUAUGAUUUGGGCUACACACGUGCUACAAUGGACAAUACAAAGGGUAGCGAAACCGCGAGGUCAAGCAAAUCCCAUAAAGUUGUUCUCAGUUCGGAUUGUAGUCUGCAACUCGACUACAUGAAGCUGGAAUCGCUAGUAAUCGUAGAUCAGCAUGCUACGGUGAAUACGUUCCCGGGUCUUGUACACACCG